rnacentral:rRNA from 1 species
AGAGUUUGAUCCUGGCUCAGGAUGAACGCUAGCUACAGGCUUAACACGUGCAAGUCGAGGGGAAACGAUAUUGGAAGCUUGCUUCCGAUAGGCGUCGACCGGCGCACGGGUGAGUAACGCGUAUCCAACCUGCCCACCACUUGGGGAUAACCUUGCGAAAGUAAGACUAAUACCCAAUGAUAUCUCUAGAAGACAUCUGAAAGAGAUUAAAGAUUUAUCGGUGAUGGAUGGGGAUGCGUCUGAUUAGCUUGUUGGCGGGGUAACGGCCACAAGGCGACGAUCAGUAGGGGUUCUGAGAGGAAGGUCCCCCANAUUGGAACUGGGACACGGUCCAAACUCCUACGGGAGCA